UACGUAGGCGGAAAAUUAAGUCAGUAGUGAAAUCCUGCAGCUUAACUGUAGAACUGUUAUUGAUACUGGUUUUCUUGAAUAUAGUUGAGGUAGGCGGAAUGUGUAAUGUAGCGGUGAAAUGCUUAGAUAUUGCACAGAACACCGAUUGCGAAGGCAGCUUACUAAGCUAUGAUUGACGCUGAGUUACGAAAGCGUGGGGAGCGAACAGGAUUAGAUACCCUGGUAGUCC
rnacentral:rRNA from 1 species